GACGAACGCUGGCGGCGUGCUUAACACAUGCCAGUCGAACGGAAAGGCCCUGCUUUUGUGGGGUGCUCGAGUGGCGAACGGGUGAGUAACACGUGAGUAACCUGCCCUUGACUUUGGGAUAACUUCAGGAAACUGGGGCUAAUACCGGAUAGGAGCUCCUGCUGCAUGGUGGGGGUUGGAAAGUUUCGGCGGUUGGGGAUGGACUCGCGGCUUAUCAGCUUGUUGGUGGGGUAGUGGCUUACCAAGGCUUUGGCGGGUAGCCGGCCUGAGGGGGUGACCGGCAAAAGUGGGAAUGAGAGACGGCCGAGACUCCGAGGGGGGGAAGGAGGGGGAAAUAUGGAAAAGGGGGGGGGGGCCGGAGGCAGAAACGCCGGGGGGGGGAGGAGGGCCUGGGGGUUGAAAACGGCUUUCGCCGGGGAAGAAGGGGGAGGAAGGGAAGGGGGUAAAGAAGACCCGGAAAACACGGUG
rnacentral:rRNA from 1 species